rnacentral:lncRNA from 1 species
UCGGCGCUUCGACUUCCCACCUUACUCUCCUGCAGUGGCAUCCCCCACUAUGAAGUAGAAGCUCAGAUUCCAUAACAGCACGUCCCAACUCACUGGAGGUUCCAGUGUGCGAUGGCCAGAUGCAAGGAUCUAGAUCGAUCUUCACUGCAGUCAAUAUAUCAUGAUAAGUUAUGAGUUGAUUUAUGAAUGCUCAAUUGAAAAGGAUGUAGUAUUCAUGACAGAAGCAAGAGAUAAAAGGAGGGUACAUGGAGAAGAGCUAUUUUGCUAUAUGCAAAGACAGUUUUCCCAUGAUAUAGCUGUGUUGUUUAGAGCCCAGCAACAGUCUACAAAAGUUGUUACCCUACAUAACUCAUGAUUAGGAGCCAGAGAACUCAAGAAAAACAUUCAAGAGGAAAAUGCAUAACGGAUGGCCUUUGUUCAAUCAAUCAAGGCAAAGCAUAUGUUUAGGUUAUGCUUUUGCCUCAAAUAAAAGGAUUUCAGUGACUGGCUGCAGAUUGUUAGGCUAGGCUAAACUACUGUAAACAAUCUAAGAAAAGAAGUAGAAUUCCAGCAAGGAGUCACCUCCAAAUCUGAAGCUAUGUCAUGGAGACACUAAAGUGGACAAAGCAGUAAUGGCGUGAUCAAAUGCAAAUGCAAGUGAUGUGAAUGUCUACAAACAAUUGUGAGCCCUGAAGAACUCAAAAUGCAUAGAUCCGCCUGAUAAUUGUAGUUUGUUGGAGUUGAAAGGAUACACCUCAACACUACUGCUCCGAUAUGAACACUAAAGAUCUCUUGAUUUUAGAACAACAAUAACCUUGAUGGUGAGGAAAAACUUGAGAAGGAAUUGAACAUUUGAUUCACAACCGUACAUGAUGUGAAAUCGGUUGGUCUCACCCGAUAUGAUUCAUCUAUGCUUAAUUUCAAUUCCAUGCACUCGAGAUCACCGUCAAGGACUCUUUAAUUACUAAAACCGGUUGCCUUCAUCACAUCCAUCUUUUCACUUACUAGGAGAUCGGGAAACAGUAAAUGGGGGGCAUCUCUAUAGGCCCUUUCAGUUAAAACUGAUUCUACCUAGCGAAGUGCAUGACGCUUUAGAAGAGGGCAUGUCGGAUCAUAAUCCCAAUCAAAUACAGAUGCAAGAAGCCACAAUUGCCAAGUUGCUCACUGGCUACAUAGUACCCGAUUGAGCUUUUACAAGAUAGAAUGGCACGAGUUCUUGAAGAACUCAAAAAGUUAAAAAGCAGGGAAAUCGAUUCUGCUGAAGCAAGCGACAAGCAAAAUGAUCUGGGACGUCACCUCCUACAUGGGUCUCGUGAAUAAGGUAAGAGUGGAUGGAUGAGAUGAGACAGAGCAUCUGUUUACCUUUGAGAGUUGAGGAGUUGAGGAGGUGGAGGGAGGGCCGGAGCAGAGCAAGCGCAGGAGAGCAGCCCUUAAAGAGAACUUCCGACCGUCGUCAUUAGGAGGCGAAGUAUGAAUUUACAACAACUCUCUCUGCUUGUUGAUUAAAGAAAUGGGAAAAUCAAGCUAGUGCGGCAAAAAAACAAUUCAAAAAGGGACUGUCACGAGAACUACUGGUCAUCAUCAAUAGAGGAGGGUUGGGAUUGUUCUAUCGCACUUCAGUUUAGGUGAUGACACUCGUUUAGUUUUUGGACAUCCUCAAAAUAGAGAAAUAACAAUGAAAUAUCCAUAAUACCCUCACCGUCUCUUAUCAUAUAAAUUGUAUUUAAAACCAUGGUUCAUGAGUGUCUCGAGACACUAGUUAAAUAUAAUUUAUUUGGAAUAAUUCAAUUUCAAAACUUGGUGCAUAACACGAGGGCGGUCGGUACAUUGAAGACCGUAAAGUUUCCUAAAUUAGUGUUUCUGGACGCUCACCAACAAAAUACUGGUAAAUAUUAUUAUGAUUGUUUAGUUAGAGGAAAAGCGAUAUAAAUAUUUAUUAAAUCUUGACUCACUGUACACUCUUAAUUCGUUUGACAUGAAUCUUUAUAGACCUAAAUCAUUUUAACUUGUAUUGGAUUGAUAUUAUGCUAUUUUAAUUUUCUAAUUUAUAGAAUUAACUAACUUUGCUAAAGAAAACAUAAAAAUGCUAUUUCAAAAUUUUUAUCUAUCUAAAAGAUUAGGGACAUUAUUUAGGUUAACUUACAUAUAAGGAUCUAUACAUAAAUUAAUAUAAUUAUAUUAGAUAUCUUUACAAAAAAAAAAAGGAAAAAAAGACACAUAAUUUCAAAACUUUGAUCCAAUAUUCAAUGUUAUCAUUAAACUUUUAAUUUGUUCAAUCAACCUAGUCCCUCAGCCUUCAGUCUAUUCAAUCUAGUCAGUCCUAGAUGGUAUUCGAAAGUUCACGUAAUUACACUAUUGCCCGUAUUUAUAGCAAAUCUCGCAGGCCAACAUAAUGGGUCCACAAAAUAAAGAGGCCAAAGCCCACCCCAUUACCGAUAUGGGCUGGCCCUCUAGUUCUACCGAAAUAGCCAUGGCAUGUUACUGCACUUUCUUCCGUUUCCGUCGGAAGCUCCAGCGUCGGGUUGAACGAUCGGAAGCAAAAAGAAGAAGGCGGACAGGACAGCGAUGGAGGGAGACGCGCUCGCCGAGUCGCUCAACAGUCUCUUCCUCAACCUCUCCACGAUGGUCACAUCCGAACUCCAGGUACCUCGAUUUUGUUUACUCAUUCACACUGAUCUUUGAUUGAAUCAUGAGGCUUGCAUUUAUGCACUCUGAAUAAGUAAAGACAUGUGGUUAUGAUACGAGCAUGGGCUUAACAGAGGUGAGUUCAGCCAUCAUCUCUUUCUCACCACUUUCAAACUGAAUUAGGUUGCUGGAGUUAAAGUGGAAUCACUCACGAGAGGGAAUUCAUAACCCCAGCAAAUGCGAUAAAUGCAAUCAGCUCUUUGUGUCGCCCGACUUCCAUAGUGAAUUCAUUAUCUGCCUCACCUGCGAAUCCUUUUCUCUAUCCCUAUAAGGAUGAGACCGGUCCAUGGCAGCAAGCAACUCUUUGCCUAAGGAGAGUUCGUUAACCCAUAGAUGAAAACAAUGCAAACUUCGGUACACCCCGUUAAGCAAUUGACUCGGUUCAGGUCCUUAGAUGAAAUCUUAAUAAAAACCCGUUUAGCGAUCAAGAUGUGUCUUUAAACAAUACGCAUGUUAUAAUUAUGUGGUGUAAAUCAAGUUAACUUAUCUUUCACGCUUCAAAUAAGAAAAAGCCAAUCCCAAGGUUAAUGAUAUAUAGAGGGUCCAUUUGUAUGCAUUGUCUCCAUGCAGAAGUGGAGAGAGGUUUCCUCGUCAUGGCAUAGAAGUGAGAGUGAUGUUUGGCAAUUUGCCAAACAUCGAUAAUUUCUGUUCUUUUAUUUUCGGGAGUAGAUUUAGAACAGAAAUUUGUUUCGUAAAAUUUUUAUUCCUAAGAACAAAUUUUUAUUGUUUUGUUCCUGGAAGUAGAUUUCGAAUAAAAUCGAGAAGUAAAAAAAUUUUGAUUGUUUAAUUCCCGGAUUAAUUCUAGAAUAAAGCACCUAUUUUCUCUCUUUUCUUUUUUCUUGUUGUUCAUCCCUCUUUCUUCUUCUUCAACUGCACAUCGUCGUUGCCAUCCACCGUCGUCUGCCGUUCAUCGCUAUCGAUUGCCGGCAACCGAUAGGGUGAGAUCUAGCGAGCUUGUCAGAGGCUCGCCCAGCCAUCAACGUCUCGACCUCGUUAGAUUUGGCGAGAUCAAGCCUCGCCGGUGGCCAGGUGGGCCUCGUCAGGGCCUCUCUCAACCAUCGGUGAGGCUCACCUGGCCAAGCGAGGCUCGGCUGACGAGGCACAGCCUCACCAAGGGCUAGUGAUGCUUUAGUGAGAUUGCCGGCCCUUGUCUAACCGGUUGUCGGUCAUUCCAAGGCCGGCCACCUUGAAGAAGAAGAGGAGGAGAAAGAAAGGGAAAAAAAAAAUUAGAAAUUAAAAAAAAAUGAUUUGAAGUAGAUAUUUUGAGGACGAUACGCAAUUCUAUUCCAAGAAUUGAAAUUUUGGACAGUUACCAAACGGUUUAAAAUAUUUAAAAAUUGUUCUCGAAAACAGAAUAAAAAAUAAUCAAUUUUGAUCAUAAAUCGUUCCCAGGAACAUACAUUUUUGAUCAGAAAUUAUUCCUCGGAAGAGAAGCGUUACCAAACAUAAAGGAGUGCACACAUGGUCCGAGCGAAAUAAGUCACUAUGAAUUUGCUUGCAAAGUGAUCAAAUAUGGGAUGUUCGUUGUGAAAUUUCUCUUACAUGAAAUCUUUUUCCUCUAUGUUAAAACCAUACACGUGAUUUAUAGGAUUCUUAUUCCCUUUAUGGUGGCAAAAUUGGGCCUGCUUGUUAAACGAGUCAAGUUGAUUUUGUAGAUAAUUUGGAGGGUCUUGUCCUAUGGGAGCUCAUAUCUUCAGGCUUUUAUGUUCUUGCUUGUAAAUCUAGUGUUAAGUUUGAAUUUGGAGAGCUCAAGUUGUAAAAACCACCAAUGAGACUAUUGUACAUUGGUUUGAGAACAAUAUGAAAAGAAAGAUGGCUUUGAAUUUAUAUGGUCCUCUGUAUUCCAUUAAUAACAUUCGGAAUACACAUUGACCCAUGUUCGAAUCGUCACGUUAUCACAUGAAGUAUUAUCAGUUGAUAGCUAUGGAUAUACUGAGUGGGUCAGUCUACACGCUCUUUGUGCUUUAGGGCUUUGUUAGGGCAAUGACUUUUUGGAAACAUCUACAAUGAACUUCAUGAUGCUUUUACUAUGCUUUAACAUAUUGGUUCCUUUUAAAAAUGGCUUGCAUAGGUCAAAAUCAAUCUCUUGUUGAAGCUCGUCUUCAAAGUUGCAUCGUUGGUUCUCCUCUAAAUUUGGUAAUGAUGGCAGGGUUAUUUCAAGCUGCUCCGUCCCCUUUAUGGCAGACUCAUGUACUAAAGUCCCCUACAGAUUAAAGAGUUUAUGGAAACUUUUGUUUGAUGACGAGAGGCUCUUGUACAUUUGAUGGACAGAACAUCAUGAGCAAAUUCAGGCUUUAGAUGGAAGUUCUAAUGAUGGUGGUGGAUUUUGACAGCUUUUGGGCAGUUCCUUCUUAUUCUUGAAUCACAAGACGGCAUAAACUGGUUUUAUUUAUUUAUUUAUUCCGUUUGCCCCUCAAAGCAGCUUGGCAAUGCAAUAUUAGGGGAUCAACUAUACUUGUUUGAGGAGUGGCUCGGUCAUUGCCUGUAGAACGUGAAAAUUAACUCAGCAAAGGUGGUUUCUAGAUUUAUUGAUGAUCAUGGUUGGAGUGAUUUCAGUAUAGUUGCUUUUCUGGGGAAAACUAAUGCCUCCGGGGCCUUGAGGACAUUGUGGAUGCUUCAGGACUUAAACUCACUCUUUGGGCUUGUUAAUAAAACCGACUAUUAUCAAACGGUGAAAGGUUGGGCAGUGUUAUCCACUAAGAAGUCCUAUAACUUCAUAAGAUUUUAACUUGAAUAUAGGAGCUUACGCCUGUAAUAGGUAGUUGAAGCGUAACCCCCCCCACCCAAAAAAAAAAAAAAAGGCUUGAGACGGAGAAAUUCAUAAAAUAAAUUUGCAAUAUGAAUUUGUUUGACUCUGUUUUGCAGUGGAAACCUUCUGUUGUAUAUGGUGAAAUGUAGUUCUCUGGCUGCAAUUUCAACGGUCAGGUCUCUGUCUAUGCCUUGCAAACGGUGUACUAACGAGAAACCGAGAGAUGUUCACCAAAUUUCAGUUUCCAUUCAUAACACUUCGUGAUAAUACUUGCACACUUAGACAUGAAAAUCUAAGUAGUCGCAUCUCCAACCCUCCAUAAUGUUUACAUACAAAGACAUUGCAGGUUAGUUGGGUACAUCUGGCGAGAUGUGAGACAAUUUCAGAACAGCAGUUACUCCGGUGAAUAUCUAGAAAGAACAUUGUGAUGGAUGCAAAACAUGCGAAAUCCCAAAAUCUCUAUAACCAGAUCAAGAACAUGUAUAAUUGAGUAAAAAUAUUAACGCACCUAUUUUGGGAUCCAUGGUUCUUGAAGCGGAAGCAGAAAUUUAAUAUUCCACGCACAAGUCAUUCUACUCUGGCUCAAUGAAACGGCCCCUCGCCUUUUAGUGCUAGGUAAACACCCUUAUGUGAGGAUACUUAUGAGAAUUGAGGUUAGAGGAGAGACUUAAGCACUAUUUAUAGAGUUUCCAGCCAAGCUUCUCAUUACGGACCAGGCUUAACUUGGCCUAUACUAGCCAGCCCCAUAUUAAACUAAUUAAGAAAAUCUCACUUUAGACUAACCUCAUUUUACAAUAACCAUAAAACGGUAAAUUACAAUAUCAAUUAAUAUAGUCCACAUUAGAAAAACUGUUGCACCAAUAUCAAUAUCAAUUGUCCAUUGAGUAAAUUACAGCACAAAUUCAAGCAGAAUCGUUUUGCAACUCUAUGCAAGAUUUAGUCCUAGUCUUUCUCCAGCCUCAGUGUCUAGUGGGUUUGAAUGUCAUUGCCAUUUGUAAGGGAAAUUAGACUUCAAUGAGAUACCUUGUCAAGUAUCUCGCUUCGAAGGAAAUUAUACAAUAUUCAGCUCAACAGCCUUAUGACCGGGAAAAAAAAAAUCAACAGCCUACCAGGUAUGAUUCACUGACUGUGAACCAACCAAAGUUUUACAAAAUAGUACAUUUUUGGAACCUCCGGUGUUAAAACGCACAGACUACUCAGAGCUGCAGAGUAUAUUCUUGACAUCAGCAGCAUCAGACCGAUUUUCAGCUGGAGCCUACCUUUGCCUUUUCAGUAUCCAUUUUAGAAUAUGAAGAAAUGCCACUCGAAUCAUAUGAGCUUUCCCAGUUCUGUCCAUCAUAUUGCUUGAUCUCGACAUGAGCCAGAGUACCGGGGUCCACGCACCUAUAAGUAACGGCGAUUCCAUCUGGAUUUGAUCUUGGCUUGUAAAAUGAAGUUAUGCCGCAAACUUUGCAAAAAGUAUGCUUUGCAGUGUGAGUACCGAAAGUGUAGGUUGUGAGGUAUUGGUCCGAAUUUCCCAAAAGUUUAAAUCUUUCAGAAGGGACAACGAAGUUUAUAUUGCCUCUCAUGGAGCAAUCUGAACAGUUGCAUUCCCAAGCAACUACGCUAGUUGGCGCUUCGAUUUCCCACCUUACUUUCCUGCAGUGGCAUCCCCCACUAUGAAGUAGAAGCUCGGAUUCCAUAACAGCACGUCCUAACUCACUGGAGGUGUGAUGGCUAGAUGCAAGGAUCUAGAUCGAUCUUCACUGCAGUCAAUAUAUCAUGAUAAGUUAUAAGUUGAUUUAUGAAUGCUUAAUUGAAAAGGAUGUAGUAUCUCAUGACAGAAACGAGAGAUAAAAGGAGGGUACAUGGAGAAGAGCUAUUUUGGUAUAUGCAAAGACAGCUUUCACACGAUAUAGCUGUGUUGUUUAGCGCCCAGCGACAGUCUACAAAAGUCUCGUGUCAAACAAAUCAAGAAAUAUUUGCAGGUUUACCCGGAUACAAAAUUCGUUACCCUACAUAACUCAUGAUUAAGAGCCAGAGAACUCAAGAAAAACAUUCAAGAGGAAAAUGCAUAAUGGAUGGCAUUUGUUCAACCAAUCAAAGCAAAGCGUAUGUUGGGAUAUCAUGCCCCACGAGUGAGUCGACAAGUGCCCCCUAGGAGGGCAGUCUACCGCAAGAUCUUUGCCUGCUUUCUUUAUGGAAGAGAGGUUCCAGGGGAAUCAAUGCUCUCAGCUGAAACAGGGCUUGAAGCCUUCAGCGACUGGCUGCAGAUUGUUAGGCUAGGCUAAACCAUUGUAAACACUCUAAGAAAAGAAGUAGAAUUCCAACAAGGAGUCACCUCCAAAUCUGAAGCUAAGUCACGGAGACACUAAAGUGGACAAAGCAGUAAUGGCGUGAUCAAAUGCAAAUGCAAGUGGAUGUGAAUGUCUACAACAAUUGUGAGGCCCGAAGAACUCAAAAUGCAUGGAUCCGCCUGAUAAUUGUAGUUUGGAGUUGAAAGGAUAGACUGCAACACUACCGCUCCGAUAUGAACAUUAAAGAUCUCUUAAUUUUAGAACAACAAUAGCCUUAAUGGUGAGGAAAAACUUGAGAAGGAAUUGAACAUUUGAUUCACAGCCAUACAUGAUGUGAAAUCGGUCAGUCUCACUCAAUAUGACUCAUCUAUGCUUAAUUUCAAUUCCAUGUACUCGAGAUCACCGUCAAGGACUCUUUAAUUACUAAAACCGGUUGCCUUCAUCACAUCCAUCUUUUCACUUACAAGGAGAUGGGGAAACGGUAAAUAGGGAGCAUCUCUAUAGACUAUAGGCCCUUUCAGUUAAAACUGAUUCUACCCAGCGAAGCGCAUAUGAUGCUUUGGAGAAGGGCAUGUCGGAUCAUAAUCCCAAUCAAAUACAGAUGCAAGAAGCCACAAUGGCCAAGUUGCUCACUGGCUACGUAGUACCCGAUUGAGCUUUUACAAGAUAGAAUGGCACGAGUUCUUGAAGAACUCAAAAAGUUAAAAAGCAGGGGAAUCGACUCUGCCGAAGCAAGCACCAAGCAAAAUGAUCUGCGAUGUCGUCUCCUACAUGGGUCUCGUGAGUAAGGUAAGGGUGGAUGGAUGAGAUGAGACAGAGCAUCUGCUUUCGUUUACCUUU